GAUGAACGCUAGCGGCAGGCUUAAUACAUGCAAGUCGUGGGGCAGCAUGUCCCGCAGCAAUGCGGGAUGAUGGCGACCGGCAAACGGGUGCGGAACACGUACACAACCUUCCUUUUAGUGGAGAAUAGCCCAGGGAAACUUGGAUUAAUACACCGUAACAUAUGAGAGUGGCAUCACUUUUAUAUUAUAGCUCCGGCGCUUGAAGAUGGCUGUGCGGCUGAUUAGGUAGUUGGCGGGGUAAUGGCCCACCAAGCCUGCGAUCAGUAACUGGUGUGAGAGCACGACCAGUCACACGGGCACUGAGACACGGGCCCGACUCCUACGGGAGGCAGCAGUAAGGAAUAUUGGUCAAUGGACGCAAGUCUGAACCAGCCAUGCCGCGUGAAGGAUGAAGGUCCUCUGGAUUGUAAACUUCUUUUAUCUGGGACGAAAAAGGGGCUUUCUAGCUCAACUGACGGUACCAGAGGAAUAAGCACCGGCUAACUCCGUGCCAGCAGCCGCGGUAAUACGGAGGGUGCAAGCGUUAUCCGGAUUCACUGGGUUUAAAGGGAGCGUAGGCGGGCAGGUAAGUCAGUGGUGAAAUCUCCGGGCUUAACCCGGAAACUGCCAUUGAUACUAUCUGUCUUGAAUAUCCUGGAGGUAAGCGGAAUAUGUCAUGUAGCGGUGAAAUGCUUAGAUAUGACAUAGAACACCCAUUGCGAAGGCAGCUUACUACGGGAUGAUUGACGCUGAGGCUCGAAAGCGUGGGGAUCAAACAGGAUUAGAUACCCUGGUAGUCCACGCCCUAAACGAUGGAUACUCGACAUCAGCGAUACACUGUUGGUGUCUGAGCGAAAGCAUUAAGUAUCCCACCUGGGAAGUACGACCGCAAGGUUG
rnacentral:rRNA from 1 species